rnacentral:rRNA from 1 species
AUUGAACGCUGGCGGCAGGCCUAACACAUGCAAGUCGAACGCGUGGCGGACGGGUGAGUAAUGUCUGGGAAACUGCCCGAUGGAGGGGGAUAACUACUGGACACGGUAGCUAAUACCGCAUACCCUCGGAUGUGCCCAUAUGGGAUUAGCUAGUAGGUGGGGUAACGGCUAACCUAGUCGACGAUCCCUAGCUGGUCUGAGAGGAUGAACAGCCACACGGGAACUGGGACAGCGUCCAGACUCCUACGGACGGCAGCGGUGGGGAAUAUUGCAAAAGGGGCGAAAGCCUGAUGCAGACAUGCGGCGGGUAUAAAGAAGGCUUUCGGGUGGUAAAGUACUUUCAGCGAGGAGGCGUUAUUCGCAGAAGAAGCACCGGCUAACUCCGUGCCAGCAGCCGCGGUAAUUC